rnacentral:rRNA from 1 species
CCGGUUGAUCCCGGCAGAGGUUACUGCUAUCGGUGUUCGACUAAGCCAUGCAAGUCAUAUGUUCCUCGUGAACAUGGCAUACUGCUCAGUAACACGUGGAUAACCUGCCCUUGGGUCUGGGAUAACCCCGGGAAACUGGGGAUAAUACCGGAUAACGCAUAUGUGCUGGAAUGCUUUAUGCGUAAAACGGAUUCGUCCGCCCAAGGAUGGGUCUGCGGCCUAUCAGGUAGUAGUGGGUGUAAUGUACCUACUAGCCAACAACGGGUACGGGUUGUGAGAGCAAGAGCCCGGAGAUGGAUUCUGAGACAUGAAUCCAGGCCCUACGGGGCGCAGCAGGCGCGAAAACUUUACAAUGCGGGAAACCGUGAUAAGGGAACACCGAGUGCCAGCAUCAUAUGCUGGCUGUCCAGAUGUGUAAAGUACAUCUGUUAGCAAGGGCCGGGCAAGACCGGUGCCAGCCGCCGCGGUAACACCGGCGGCCCGAGUGGUGACCGUUAUUAUUGGGUCUAAAGGGUCCGUAGCCGGUUUGGUCAGUCCUCCGGGAAAUCUGAUAGCUUAACUGUUAGGCUUUCGGGGGAUACUGCCAGGCUUGGAACCGGGAGAGGUAAGAGGUACUACAGGGGUAGGAGUGAAAUCUUGUAAUCCCUGUGAGACCACCUGUGGCGAAGGCGUCUUACCAGAACGGGUUCGACGGUGAGGGACGAAAGCUGGGGGCACGAACCGGAUUAGAUACCCGGGUAGUCCCAGCCGUAAACUAUGCUCGCUAGGUGUCAGGCAUGGCGCGACCGUGUCUGGUGCCGCAGGGAAGCCGUGAAGCGAGCCACCUGGGAAGUACGGCCGCAAGGCUGAAACUUAAAGGAAUUGGCGGGGGAGCACAACAACGGGUGGAGCCUGCGGUUUAAUUGGACUCAACGCCGGACAACUCACCGGGGACGACAGCAAAAUGUAGGCCAGGCUGAAGACCUUGCCUGAAUCGCUGAGAGGAGGUGCAUGGCCGUCGCCAGUUCGUACUGUGAAGCAUCCUGUUAAGUCAGGCAACGAGCGAGACCCA